UUGCCCUCAGAAAUGUGAACACGAUCUUUCAACAUCCAUCAAGUCGUCAAGAAUCUGGAAGUUACAAAAGAUAUUUCACAUCAGCACAGUUAAAUUUUAGAACAAACUGAUGACCCACAGGCGCAAACAGUUCAUUACCUUACACCAGAAGCAGACCCACUGUCCACUAACACUCUUGGAGCCAUAUUGAAAUU